GUGAGGAAUUUUCCGCAAUGGGCGAAAGCCUGACGGAGCAAUGCCGCGUGAAGGAUGAAGGCCUAUGGGUUGUAAACUUCUUUUCUCAGAAAAGAAUUAUGACGGUAUCUGAGGAAUAAGCAUCGGCUAACUCUGUGCCAGCAGCCGCGGUAAGACAGAGGAUGCAAGCGUUAUCAGGAAUGAUUGGGCGUAAAGCGUCUGUAGGUUGUUUAAAAAGUAUUCUGUCAAAGAUUAGGGCUUAACCCUAGAUAGGCAGAAUAAACUUUUAAGCUAGAGGUUGGUAGAGGCAGAGGGAAUUCCCGGUGGAGCGGUGAAAUGCGUAGAUAUCGGGAGGAACACCAAAGGCGAAGGCACUCUGCUGGGCCAAUACUAACACUGAGAGACGAAAGCGAGGGGAGCAAAUGGGAUUAGAAACCCGUGUAGUCC
rnacentral:rRNA from 1 species